rnacentral:lncRNA from 1 species
GGGUUUUCAUGGAUUUGGUCAUCAUCUUCAUUUCCUCGUACCUAUGUCAUCACUAGUUUUGAUUUGGUCUCCAUCUUCACCUUUCCUGGUCAAGUAUAAUAUAAGCACGGACUAAAAUUUGGGAGUCGAAAGAGAAUCAAAAUGGAAUCACAAUGUAACAUUAUAGCCAUUAUUAUUAAAAGAUACAUAGUUUUAAUAGUUUUAAUGAAGCAAUUUCCAUUUGAUCCAUACAAACUUUUGAACCAAUAUAUAUGAAGUGAAGUUUGCAGUUUUAAGUCUAAAUCGCAUCAAAAACACCUCUAUGUUUUAUAUUACUUAUGUUGUAAAUAAAGUUACAAAAUCUUUUAAAUAUGUUACCAGUAGUUAACUGGAUUACUACAUUAUAUUUAAUUUAAAAUAGACUUCACAGUUUUCUUUUCAAUAAGUUUAAUGAUUAAUCGAAAAAAGAGUGGGUAGAUAUUGCAUUAUAAAUUAGGUCCUCACCUACACACCUCUUUUGUCAUAUCAUUCGUUUUCUCCACAAUGGCCAAAAUUUCCUUGUGCUUCCUUCUUCCACUCUUCAUCGCCUUCUCACAAACAUCUCCGACCACCGGAGCAGAUUCCACCUUCGUGCAAUCCGUAAAACGGAACCCAAUGAAGCUCCGAUCAGAAAAACUCAGCCACUUCCGAUUCUACUGGCACGAUAUCAUCAGUGGCCCCAACCCGACCGUCGUCAACAUCGUGCAACCGCCGGCCAACAACAAAACGGGAUCCAUCGGAACCGGAUUCGGUAUGAUUAACAUGAUUGACGAUCCAUUGACGGAAAAACCAGAGGCAGAUUCCAAGUUAUUGGGGAGAGCACAAGGGUUCUAUGGACUGGCGUCACAGGAGGAAGUUGGGUUGUUAAUGGCGAUGAACUUUGUGUUUUCAACAGGAAAGUAUAACGGGAGUACUUUGACGAUUUUGGGGCGGAAUCCGGUGUUUCAUAAGGUGAGAGAGAUGCCGGUGAUCGGAGGAAGUGGGCUUUUCCGGUUUGCUAGAGGGUAUGUUCAGGCGAGUACGCAUACUUUUGAUUUGAAAACAGGGGAUGCAGUUGUUGAGUAUAAUGUUCAUGUUUUGCAUUAUUGAUCUUCUUGUUUUUUCAGGCAACAAGUUAAUUGAAUCAAUUUGUUUUGGUUUUGUUUGAUGAUUAAUAAUUUAUCUUUUUUUUGAGUUUUUCGUUUGUUGAAGUUGUUUUCAAUUUGUAGUCGGUGGCACUUUUUCAUCAUGAUGUCCAUUGUGGUCUCAUUUAGUAUUCCUUUAAAUAAUACAAUAAAAAUGUGUUUGGCAAUUUUUAUUUUAUUUUUACUAUUAAAAUAGAUUGUGGAACAGGCCUACAAACUUUUUUUUUGUAUUUGUUGUAAUAAACAUGAUUACAAAUGUUACUAUAAUAGUUUUAUAUUA